rnacentral:rRNA from 1 species
UACGUAGGCAGCGAGCGUUGUUCGGAAUUACUGGGCGUAGAGAGUGUGUAGGCGGUGCUCUAAGUUCGGUGUGAAAUCUCCCGGCUUAACUGGGAGGGUGCGCCGGAAACUGGAGUGCUCGAGCGUGGGAGAGGAAAGCGGAAUUCCUGGUGUAGCGGUGAAAUGCGUAGAUAUCAGGAGGAACACCUGCGGUGUAGACGGCUUUCUGGACCAUUGCUGACGCUGAGACACGAAAGCGUGGGUAGCAAACAGG